GGACCCGCACAAGCAGUGGAGCAUGUGGUUUAAUUCGAAGCAACGCGCAGAACCUUACCAACCCUUGACAUCCUGUGCUACAUUCAGAGAUGAAUGGUUCCCUUCGGGGACGCAGUGACAGGUGCUGCAUGGCUGUCGUCAGCUCGUGUCGUGAGAUGUUCGGUUAAGUCCGGCAACGAGCGCAACCCACAUCCCUAGUUGCCAGCAGUUCGGCUGGGCACUCUAUGGAAACUGCCCGUGAUAAGCGGGAGGAAGGUGUGGAUGACGUCAAGUCCUCAUGGCCCUUACGGGUUGGGCUACACACGUGCUACAAUGGUAGUGACAAUGGGUUAAUCCCAAAAAGCUAUCUCAGUUCGGAUUGUCGUCUGCAACUCGACGGCAUGAAGUCGGAAUCGCUAGUAAUCG
rnacentral:rRNA from 1 species